rnacentral:rRNA from 1 species
UUGGAGGGCAAGUCUGGUGCCAGCAGCCGCGGUAAUUCCAGCUCCAAUAGCGUAUAUUAAAGUUGUUGCAGUUAAAAAGCUCGUAGUUGAAUUUCGGGGUCAGUAGGUUGGUCGUGCCACUGGUACGUACUGGUCUCACUGAUUCCUCCUUCCUGAUGAACCGUAAUGCCAUUAAUUUGGUGUUGCGGGGAGACUGGACUGUUACUUUGAAAAAAUUAGAGUGUUUAAAGCAGGCUAACGCUUGAAUACAUUAGCAUGGAAUAAUGAAAUAGGACGUUCGAUCCUAUUUUGUUGGUUUCUAGGAUUGACGUAAUGAUUAAUAGGGAUAGUUGGGGGCAUUAGUAUUCAAUUGUCAGAGGUGAAAUUCUUGGAUUUAUUGAAGACUAACUACUGCGAAAGCAUUUGCCAAGGAUGUUUUCAUUAAUCAAGAACGAAAGUUAGGGGAUCGAAGACGAUCAGAUACCGUCGUAGUCUUAACCAUAAACUAUGCCGACUAGGGAUCGGAUGAUGUUAAUUUUUUAAUGACUCAUUCGGCGCCUUACGGGAAACCAAAGUGUUUGGGUUC